rnacentral:lncRNA from 1 species
CAACACUAGAACUACCAUUGACUUUCGUUGUAUGAGAAACAAAAACAACAAAAAAUACAAACAAGCCUUUUUUUAAAAAAAAAACUAGUUUCUUCUUCACAUGUUUAGAAUGACAUGGAGGUGAUGAAAUGAGGACAGAAUUGUCUUUUUUGUGAAUUAUAUCCCUUUAAAUCAUCUGAAUUCAGUCAGGUUUACUGAAUGGAAACUACUGUUUAUGUGUAGUAGUUUACUUAUUUGUAUGAGUUCAAUGUGCAAGGUGUAACAAUAUAUCCUUAAUACUAAAACCUCAGUGUGAUCAUGUGACAUUAUGCCUCUGUUGCACUAUUUUUUUUUUUUUUUUUUUUAGUCAUCCAUACUGCAUAGGUGCCAAAAUAAAUGCGCAAAAGAGUCACAACACCACAUGAUCCUUCUGAGGUGCCCAUUGAAUUCUUUAUAUUUUUAAGCUAGGUUACCUUGAUACAGCCCUUGUAGCUAGAGGUUGAUGGUGUUCAGUGGGGAACUGAGGGAGAUUACCUCAAGUUUUUAUUUAGUCCCAAAAUUGAUCCGUGUGAACUUUGGGCUGACAUUAAUAAUGGUGGCUAUCUGGAUCUAAGCUGCUCGCUCUGGCGCAGGGUGCUAUCUGAAAUCAAUAGUUCUUCUUUCUCACUCUCAAUUUCUUUUUCUUCCAAGAUCCUGUAGUUUUUUUUUUUUUUUUUUCAUACUGUAUAUGGUGAAACGCCCACGCUGUCGGCCCCUGUACUCAUGCUUGUCAUCUUUGCCUACUACUUUUCGCCGUCCCCCUGCUGUGUGCCGGUGAUCAACAUUGAUGUAUCCUCUCUUCUCUCAGCCAGACUGUCCCCUCUGGUCAUUUUUAUUCUCUCUCUCUCUUUCUCUCUCUCUCUCUCUCUCUCACACACACACUGUAUUUCUCUUCAUCUUUUUUUUUCUCUUCUCUUUCAUGUCUCUGAAAAGUUUCUAAAAGUAGUACUGCAUGUGCAGUGGGGUCCAAACAUUUGAGACCUCAUUGAAAAUUUAUUUUUAACCUGAAAAACAGAAUGUUUCAUAAUCGUAAUUUUAUGGUGUGAAAUGCAUCAAUUUUGCACUAUAUUUAGGUCGCCAGUCAAAUAAACACAGCGCUACACUUCAGGAAAUAUGUAUGAAAGACUUUUAUAUGUGACACCUGUUUUCAGAAUAUUACAAAUACAGUAACAGUGAAUGUGUGCCUAUUUUAAAAUAAUAUAUAUCUGUCUCUUAUACACAUCUCUGAGCGGGCUGGCAUGUUACAAGAACUUGAUCUGUUGCCCCCCCACGCACACAGCGGCUUAGCACACAACAUCAUAAAUCAUGUAACAGUAGACUGACUCUGAUGUUGGCAUAUGAAUAUAAAAUAAUGACAAGAAAGAGCAGAGCUCUAUAAUGUAAUAACUGUCAGCAAACUUUAAUGGUUUUAGUUUUCUAACUCAUAAAUUGUCAUUGUUUGGUUUCGGUUGCAUUUAUGUAAUCUGCAAACAAUCAAAUGAAUAACAGCAGGUUUCCAAAUUGUUAUUGUGAUGAUAUGCUUACCCUUCC